rnacentral:lncRNA from 1 species
UUUAUUAACUGCAUACAGAGGUGCUCCACUUAUUGAUAUUGUUGGGAAAUUGAGCUUCCUCCCAAGAUCAAUCUAAGUAAUUUAUCAAACAACAAAUUAACAGAAAAAAUUAAAUAGAAAAUAAUAUCAAUCCUACAACAUAAGAUUUACGUGGAAAACUUCAAAUCCGAAAAAAAACCACAACCGUUAUCAAAAAGACAACUAGAGAAAAAUAUUUACUAUGUGAAAAAUUAUUACAAUUACACUCUUAGAAAUAAUUUCUCUCACCCAAACCCCAGAUACACCCAAAAUACUAAAACUUCCUAAUACUCACUUAAUGCUUAACUUGCAUUAGAUUUCACAGCUCUAUAGAAUUUUGAAUGCUUCUCUCUAGGAUGAUUAAAAUGAAGGAAGAAAAAAAGGUAUACAAAUAUUUUUUUAAUGAUUUGUCACAUCCUACAUAUACUUUACAAUUUCGAGUCAAUUAAUUAGAAUAUUUUUGAAUUCAUACAUUUAUAUCACAGUCUAUGAUCUAUAGAAAAUAGCUCCAUAACCAUCUAUUUUUCUUUUGUUGAAUAUAAAUUGUGAAAUUCAUUAAUACUAAUUCAUUGUAGCAAUAUGUAUUUUGUUACAGGAAGCAGUUAAGUUAAAAUGGAUUGAUCUUCAUCACUCUCGAGACUGGGCGAAAAUCCCUUAUUCCUCAGAAUUGCCAAACCUUGAGAGAAUAGAACUUUUGAACCGUAGAAAGUUGCCUUACGUUGUCCCAACCAUUCAUAAUUUUAAUCAUCUUAGCAGCUUGUGUCUCGAAGGUUGCAAGAGUCCUAAGCACUUUCCAGGUAACACCCAUUUUAGAUCUCCAAUUGCAGUUAAUUUCUCCUUGUAUUUUGAUCUUACAGAGUUUCCACAAAUCACCGAAAAUGUAAGACCUUUACGUGGGACCCCAAUAGAAGAAAUUCGUGCAUCAGUUGAGUGCCUAAAUCUCGAGAAUUGCAAAAGGCUUAAAAGUAUUAGUAUUUCAAGUAAAAACAUUUGCAAAAGAAUUAUAAAACUGCAAUUAACUUAUUUAUAGGCAAAAAACUUGCCUAAUAGCCUUCAAGUUUGAUCAAAUUUGGUGGCUUACCCACCAAAUUUGAUCAAAUGAAUUUGGUCAUGUUCAACCAUGGCUGCUCCCAUGGUUCAAGAAUGGAGGCUAAAGCCUUUACUUUGACAGAUACCACACCACAAACUGAAGACAUGAAAACAAUAUUUCAUGCGCUCGAUGCUUUCAGAAGAGUGUGUGCAAUGUGGGACGAGCUGACUCAAAAUUUUGUAGCUAUGAUAAAUGACAAGUCUUCAGCUGUGUAACCUACUGUAGUAGCCCUUCGCAUUUGUCCCAACAUUGUUUAUCUACAGUCAUGCACAUGGACAUGGACUAACUUAAUAUAUUAUAAAAAAAAAUGUAUAGAUCAUACAUCUAGUAAUUAAUUAAGUGAUCACAUAAAAGGAUGUUCAGUUUGCCAAUGAAAAGAGAGGAGACAUGUUUCAUUAGAUUCUUUCAUUGUUCUUGUUUUGAAACAUCGCAUACAGAAUAUAAAUUUUAAUAUAUAAAAAAUUAUAUUUUUUGAUCUAUUAAAAUAUUGAAAUCUGUAUUUUUUGUCUGCUUUUUGCUACAAAAUUAUUAUUAUUAUUAUUAGCUAGCUCAGCUAGGCAGCGAUAAUAAAGAAAGUACCCGAGUCCUCUGGAUCCACCGAUAACAAGCGUGGUCAGCCGUCGAGCCUCCAUCUGUCAUGGCCCGCCGUGCCAUUCUAUUUGCCUGAUCCUCUUUCCGC